UACGUAGGGGGCGAGCGUUGUCCGGAAUCAUUGGGCGUAAAGCGCGUGUAGGCGGCUCGAUAAGUCCGGUGUGAAACCUUGGGGCUCAACCCCAAGCCUGCACUGGAUACUGCCGAGCUAGAGUCCGGGAGGGGAGAGCGGAAUUCCUAGUGUAGCGCUGAAAUGCGCAGAUAUUAGGAGGAACACCGGUGGCGAAGGCGGGUCUCUGGGCCAUAACUGACGCUGAGGAGCGAAAGCGUGGGGAGCGAACAGG
rnacentral:rRNA from 1 species